GUGAGGGGAUGACUGGUGACAGAGUGAGGGAGGGAGUGGGUAACUAGUGACAGAGGGAGGGGUGACUAGGGACAGAGUGAGGGAGAUGGUGACUAGUGACUAGUGACAGUCACCACCUCUGUCACUAGUCACCACCUCCCUCCCUCUGUCACCAGUCAUCCCCUUACUCUGUCACUAGUCACCCCUUCCUUCCCUCACUCUGCCACUAGUCACCCCUUCCCUCACUCUGUCACUAGUCACCCCCUCAC